rnacentral:tRNA from 2 species
GGAUGAAAAGCUCAAUGGUUGAGCAGCGGUUUGUUAAGCCGUUGGUUGAAAGUUCGAAUCUUUCUUCAUCCG